rnacentral:rRNA from 1 species
CGCACGGGUGAGUAACACGUAUGCAACCUGCCUGCCACAGCCGGAUAAUCGGGAGAAAUUCCGUCUAAUACGGCAUAAUGCAUCGACGGGACAUCCCGUUGGUGCCAAAGGUUAAUUCCGGUGGCGGAUGGGCAUGCGUCGCAUUAGUUAGUUGGCGGUGUAACGGACCACCAAGACGACGAUGCGUAGGGGUUCUGAGAGGAAGGUCCCCCACACUGGUACUGAGACACGGACCAGACUCCUACGGGAGGCAGCAG